rnacentral:tRNA from 2 species
GUCCCUGUAGCGCAAAGGAUAGCGUAACGGCCUCCGAAGCCGUAGGUGAGAGUUCGAAUCUCUCCAGGGACA